GACGAACGCUGGCGGCGUGCCUAAUACAUGCAAGUCGAGCGGACCGAACAGGAGCUUGCUCUUGUUCGGUUAGCGGCGGACGGGUGAGUAACACGUGGGUAACCUGCCCGUAAGACCGGGAUAACUCCGGGAAACCGGAGCUAAUACCGGAUAACAACGAAGACCGCAUGGUUUUUGGUUGAAAGGCGGCUUAGGCUGCUACUUACGGAUGGGCCGGCGGGGCAUUAGAUAGUUGGUGAGGUAACGGCUCACCAAGGCUACGAUGGGUAUCCGGCCUGAAGGGUGGACCGGCCACACUGGGACCAAGACACGGCCCAGACCCCAGCGGGAGGCACGAGUAAGGAAUCGUCCGCAAUGGGCGAAAGACUUGCGGAGCGACGCCGCGUGAGCGAAGAAGGGCUUCAGAUCGUAAAGCUCGGUUGUUAAGGAAGAAAAAGCGUCGUUCGAACAAGGCGGCGCGGUGACGGUACCUAACGAGAAAGCCCCGGCUAACUACGUG
rnacentral:rRNA from 1 species